UACGUAGGGACCGAGCGUUAUCCGGAUUCAUUGGGCGUAAAGAGCUCGUAGGCGGCUAUUCAAGUCGAACGUGAAAUCUCGGGGCUCAACUCCGAGCCUGCGUUCGAUACUGGGUAGCUAGAGUCUGGUAGGGGGAUCUGGAAUUCCUGGUGUAGCGGUGGAAUGCGCAGAUAUCAGGAGGAACACCGGUGGCGAAGGCGGGUCUCUGGGCCGAUACUGACGCUGAGGAGCGAAAGCGUGGGGAGCGAACAGG
rnacentral:rRNA from 1 species